GGGGGAUGAUGGCAGUGGUUGCCCGGGACUCUCAUAAGGUUCAACAGGUUGGUUCGAUUCCAACUCCCCUCA
rnacentral:tRNA from 1 species